GAUCGAUGAUGGUGGCACAGGUGGUAGCAUUUUUGACUUGCACUUGGAAGGUCCUUGGUUCAAGUCCUGGCCAGAGGUCU